rnacentral:tRNA from 2 species
CGGUGUGUGGGGCGUGGUCGGUGCCCACGGUGUCGAUGGUGCCGUCGGCCAGCCCGGCGCGCAGGGCCAUCACGUCGGACUCGCGGCGCAGCGGC